GAUGAAGAAGCAGCGAAAUGCGAUAAGUAGUGUGAAUUGCAGAAUUCAGUGAAUCAUCGAAUCUUUGAACGCACAUUGCGCCCUUUGGUAUUCCAAAGGGCAUGCCUGUUCGAGCGUCAUUUGUACCCUCAAGCUUUGCUUGGUGUUGGGCGUCUUGUCUCUAGCUUUGCUGGAGACUCGCCUUAAAGUAAUUGGCAGCCGGCCUACUGGUUUCGGAGCGCAGCACAAGUCGCACUCUCUAUCAGCAAAGGUCUAGCAUCCAUUAAGCCUUUUUUUCAACUUUUGACCUCGGAUCAGGUAGGGAUACCCGCUGAACUUAAGCAUAUCAAUAAGCGGAGGA
rnacentral:misc_RNA from 1 species